AGCAAGGCAAAAACGAUUUUUGCCAAGGAACCAAACGCACCCUAAGUUAUCUCCUUGCCGCCCCACCUCAGCCUUUCACCCCUGCUUUGCCUUUCUCUCCCCCGACGCCUCUCCUCGUCCUCCACUACCCACGUUUCCCCCAACCAACCCCGCCGCCACCGCCGACGGCGACGACCUCCUCUCCCCCAACCCCACCGCCGGCGCCCCCACCUCACGCGCGGAUCCUCCUCCUCGCCGUGCCCUUGUGCCGGCCCCAAACCCUAGCUAGGGCCCCCCUUCUCCGGGUGCGGCACGGCGCGGGGAGGGCUCCCUCUUGCCCGCCGCUGAUGCAGACGGCCCGCCGGAGGUCUUGCUACUUGCUCCUCCGACCCUCCUCCUACUGCUGCUAGUGCGGGCCGACGCCAUGGAGGUCAUGUGCAGGCGGGGAAGGAAAGCAUGGCGCGCCUGGUGCGCGAGCUCGAGGGCGCCGGCCUGCUUGUCGAGCGUGUCCGCGGCGUCCCCGCCGAGUUCAUCAAGGUCAGUGCGGCCGCCUUUUUUCCCUUUUUAGUUUGUUUGGCCAUAGCAUCCUAAUUCCAACUAAUGAGGCGGUUUCCGCGAGAUUUUGUUACGAAGAGGACUUCCCCCCUGCGCCCUGUGUUGUUUAUCUAGACUAGAUUGUUGUAGUACCUUGAUUUUAGCAUUCAAUCCCUGUGACUAGUAAGUAGUGGAUAGUAGAAGAAUGUGUUCAUAAAUUCAGUGUAAGAAUGUCUACAGAAGAUUCAGAGCAAGAGAUGGUAUCUUUCAUCAGAGUUUCCUCGUUAGAUGAAGAUUUUUUUUAUUUAGACUGUUGCAGCACCUUGAUAUUAGUUUCAGGGUAUCACAAUUCAAUCCUGUAACUAGUAGUGACUAGUGGAAGAAUGUGUGCACAAAUUCAUUGUAGGAAUGUGUACACGAAUAUUCAGUGUAAGAGUUUUAUUGCCAUGUUUUUUACCCCUCAAAUUUUGGUAGCCAGAAAUUAACGUGUGUACAGAAACAAAAUUUCAUGUCAAUCUGCUCUAUUGUUUAGCUGAUGAACUGCAGCGUCUGUCUGGAUUAAAUUGAUUUAUAGUGCAUGUGGUUUUGCUGUUCCAAUUUAGCUGUCCGCGCCCAUGGGGAUUCUGGGCAGAGCCGCUUCUGAGAUGCAGAUGAAGGAGCUUACCUACAUCAGUAACUCGACUAAUGCACCAAGUGUUUGAGAUGUGGCGUCAGACCGUCAGUAAUGUGUUCGUGUGCUCAUUGUUUAGGAUAGUGGUGGUAGACUGGUAGCUUCCCAUAUCGCAUAUACCACUUGUCCUUGCUUGGCGUCAUUUUAUUUUGAGAAUCAGUACUACUUGCCCAAUGUCCAGUAGUUUGUUUUAGAUGUUCGAGAGCUAAAUCAGUGAUUCUCUAAGUAUAUUGAACUGAAUCUCGCAAAUGCUUUUGGCCUUCAUAUGCCUCUUAUCUAGAAAAUUCAAGUCCCUUUCCGUUAUGCUAUUAUGCCUCCCCACAAAAUUCUUGCAUCCCUCUCUCUUGCUACUUAACAUGCUGUGCAAGUGUACAACUUAUACGUGAAUACACUAGAAAAACAUGAUAUGCUUUAUUUGUUCUCGUAUAAAUCCAACAAAGUAGUAAAUGCAACUUGUCUUACAUAUAUCAGACAGAGUGGGGUAACCUCUGCAAAUAAACAGCAGGCAAUUUGCCUUCAGUAGCAAUGGUUCUGCAUAUAGAUACAAAAAAUGUUCGAUCUUUGCGCGUUAUUUUAUAACCUGUAAGACAUAAUUUCGUGUGCUGCUCUGUUCUCCGAAUAUUGGUAUACAACUGAUGUGAUCCUUCAUCGAAUAGUUUUAAACUUUUUCAGCUCAUUUGCCAUGGUAAAGAACUAAAGAUAGGCUGUUUCAUUGUCUUUCACUAAGUAAUCAUGAAAUGUCAGCUUUAUUUUACAGAUUUUAAAGAUACAAAUCUUUGUGAUUCUUUUGAUGUAGAUAGGAAUAGUGCAUACAUGGCUUUGCAGAGUCAAUUUUUUCCCUUUUAUCGCAUCAAAACUUACCACAUACUAUUAUGUGACGCUUUCGCUGACCGCACAAUCGACUGGGCACAACUACGAGGGGCUUAAGCAGGAGCAUGAUAAGAAGGUGGGGCUGCUGACGAAGCAGGAGGUGAGGGGUGUGAACUACCUCAAGAUGGAGAAGAACAGGAUGGAGAUGGAGAGCCUCGAGUCCAAGAUGCUGGUGGCCACCCAGUCCAUCGACACCACCACCUCCGAGAUCAUCAGGCUCAGAGAAUCAGAGCUAUUCCCUCAGCUACUUGAGCUGGUUGCUGGAGGUGAUCGACGUCUUCAACCACUCGGAGACGGACUUCGCCGUGAAGCCUGGUUGCUAUGUCGCACAGAUGAUCGUCCAGGUGAUUUCGACGCCGGAGGUCGCUGAGGUGUGGAGGACCUUGACGCCACCGUCCGGGGGAGGGAGGAUUCGAGUCCACCGACGUCUGAACUCCGAGCCUAGGUAGAUACAUCUAGAGAAGUGGUCUGUUUAGGUUGGUGGUAGACCACUAGGGAAGGUACCCAGCUUACGAUGAUGGUUGUGUGUGUCUGAUGUUAAAUCGAAUCUUGAGAUGGUUCUGUGACAUGUUAAAUGGAAUAUUGAGAUGGUUCAGUGACAUUCGUUUGUUUUGCAUUGGACGUAUUACCAUUCAUGAAU
rnacentral:rRNA from 1 species